rnacentral:lncRNA from 1 species
ACAACCCAACCAGGGUACAGAAAGUCACAACGGGCAAAACAGCCACCAAGAUGAAUCUGUUGGGGAACAAGAGAAAAUCUCGAAGAUCCGCAGGGGAUCUCAGCAUCAACUGAGAAACAAAAAGAAGCCACCAAGAUGAAUCUGUUGGGGAACAAGAGAAAAUCUCGAAGAUCCGCAGGGGAUCUCAGCAUCAACUGAGAAACAAAAAGCUUUGCAACUCCAAACAACUCCGGGGAACAACCCACUGAAGGAAAAAACAUCAUCCAAGUAGAAUCCA